AGAUGGAGCGCCUCGAACAAAGCCAUUAAUCAGAAAAAUAAAACGUAUUUUCACCGAUUCAUCACUAGAAAUGGACCUAUAGCAAGCAUCUCAACUAACGUUAUCCACAUUCAUCAAUGAAAUAUCCCGCUACAAAAGUCCUAAAAGUCGGAAGUUAGAACGGAAGUACAAAGAGUCGAUGACACAGCGUCUCGUCUUGUCGUAUUAGUGUGAACUGGCAGGUUUCAGAACGCUGCAGACCGGCUCGUUGCAAGUAGUUGUGAGUUUCACCUUGUCUCGUCCCCAAUCUUUGGUCUGGACUGGG